rnacentral:rRNA from 1 species
AUUGAACGCUAGCGGCAUGCUUAACACAUGCAAGUCGAACGGCAGCGCGGGUAGCUUGCUACCUGGCGGCGAGUGGCGGACGGGUGAGUAAUGCGUAAGAAUCUACCUUAUAGUGGGGGAUAACUCGAGGAAACUCGAGCUAAUACCGCAUAAUCUCUAAGGAGCAAAGCAGGGGACCUUCGGGCCUCGUGCUGUAAGAUGAGCCUACGUCGGAUAAGCAAGUUGGGGGGGUAAUAGCCUACCAAGGCGACGAUCCGUAGCUGGUCUGAGAGGACGAUCAGCCACACUGGGACUGAGACACGGCCCAGACUCCUACGGGAGGCAGCAGUGGGGAAUAUUGGACAAUGGGGGAAACCCUGAUCCAGCAAUGCCGCGUGUGUGAAGAAGGCCUUCGGGUUGUAAAGCACUUUCAGUGGGGAAGAAAGAACCAAAAUUAAUACUUUUGGGUGUUGACGUUACCUACAGAAGAAGCACUGGCUAACUCUGUGCCAGCAGCCGCCGUAA